rnacentral:rRNA from 1 species
CGCCUCUUGAGUAAUUUAUAAGAGGUCCAGCCUGCCCAGUGACUCUGUUCAACGGCCGCGGUAUCCUAACCGUGCGAAGGUAGCGUAAUCAUUUGUUCUUUAAAUGAGGACUAGUAUGAAUGGCACCACGAGGGUUAUACUGUCUCCCCUUUCUAAUCAGUGAAACUAAUCUCCCCAUGAAGAAGCGGGGAUAAACAUAUAAGACGAGAAGACCCUAUGGAGCUUUAAACCAUGCGACACUUGCACCAACCCUCACAAAUUUCAGAAAAAUCCCUCCCACACAUGCAAGAUGAUCACCAGUUUUAGGUUGGGGUGACCGCGGAGCAAAAAAUAACCUCCACAUUGAAAGGAGUCUUACUCCUUAGCUUAGAGCCACACCUCCAUGCACCAAUACAAUGACAUUAAUUGACCCAAUAUUUUGAUCAACGAACCAAGUUACCCUAGGGAUAACAGCGCAAUCCACUCCAAGAGCUCCUAUCGACAAGUGGGUUUACGACCUCGAUGUUGGAUCAGGGUAUCCUGGUGGUGCAGCCGCUACCAAAGGUUCGUUUGUUCAACGAUUAAAACCCU